rnacentral:rRNA from 1 species
GACGAACUCUGGCGGCGUGCUUAACACAUGCAAGUCGAACGGUAAGGCUCCAGCUUGCUGGGGUACACGAGUGGCGAACGGGUGAGUAACACGUGGGUGACCUGCCCUGCACUUCGGGAUAAGCCUGGGAAACUGGGUCUAAUACCGGAUAGGACCGCACCGUGAGGGUGUGGUGGAAAGUUUUUUCGGUGUGGGAUGGGCCCGCGGCCUAUCAGCUUGUUGGUGGGGUAAUGGCCUACCAAGGCGGCGACGGGUAGCCGGCCUGAGAGGGUGGACGGCCACAUUGGGACUGAGACACGGCCCAGACUCCUACGGGAGGCAGCAGUGGGGAAUAUUGCACAAUGGGCGGAAGCCUGAUGCAGCGACGCCGCGUGGGGGAUGACGGCCUUCGGGUUGUAAACUCCUUUCACCAUCGACGAAGGGUUUCUGACGGUAGAUGGAGAAGAAGCACCGGCUAACUACGUGCCAGCAGCCGCGGUAAUACGUAGGGUGCGAGCGUUGUCCGGAAUUACUGGGCGUAAAGAGCUCGUAGGUGGUUUGUCGCGUCGUCUGUGAAAUUCCGGGGCUUAACUCCGGGCGUGCAGGCGAUACGGGCAUAACUUGAGUACUGUAGGGGAGACUGGAAUUCCUGGUGUAGCGGUGAAAUGCGCAGAUAUCAGGAGGAACACCGGUGGCGAAGGCGGGUCUCUGGGCAGUAACUGACGCUGAGGAGCGAAAGCAUGGGGAGCGAACAGGAUUAGAUACCCUGGUAGUCCAUGCCGUAAACGGUGGGCGCUAGGUGUGGGUUUCCUUCCACGGGAUCCGUGCCGUAGCUAACGCAUUAAGCGCCCCGCCUGGGGAGUACGGCCGCAAGGCUAAAACUCAAAGGAAUUGACGGGGGCCCGCACAAGCGGCGGAGCAUGUGGAUUAAUUCGAUGCAACGCGAAGAGCCUUACCUGGGCUUGACAUAUACAGGAUCGCGCCAGAGAUGGUGUUUCCCUUGUGGCUUGUAUACAGGUGGUGCAUGGUUGUCGUCAGCUCGUGUCGUGAGAUGUUGGGUUAAGUCCCGCAACGAGCGCAACCCUUGUCUUAUGUUGCCAGCACGUUGUGGUGGGGACUCGUAAGAAACUGCCGGGGUUAACUCGGAGGAAGGUGGGGAUGACGUCAAAUCAUCAUGCCCCUUAUGUCCAGGGCUUCACACAUGCUACAAUGGUCGGUACAGUGGGUUGCCAGUCCGUGAGGGCGAGCUAAUCCCGCAAAGCCGGUCUCAGUUCGGAUCGGGGUCUGCAACUCGACCCCGUGAAGUCGGAGUCGCUAGUAAUCGCAGAUCAGCAACGCUGCGGUGAAUACGUUCCCGGGCCU